AUUGAACGCUGGCGGAAGGCCUAACACAUGCAAGUCGAGCGGAGCGGCGGACGGGUGAGUAAUGCAUAGGAAUAUGCAUGGUAGUGGGGGAUAACGUCCGGAAACGGGAGCUAAUACCGAAUACUAUCAGAUGAGCCUAGGUCGGAUUAGCUAGUUGGUGGGGUAAAGGCCUACCAAGGUGACGAUCCGGAACUGGUCUGAGAGGAGGAUCAGUCACACUGUAACGUAGACACGGUCCAGACGCCUACGGGAGGACGCAGUGGGGAAUAUUGGACAAUGGGCGAAAGCCUGAUCCAGCCAUGCCGUGUGUGUGAAGAAGGUCUUCGGAUUUUAAAGCACUUUAAGUUGGGAGGCGUUACCCGCAGAAGAAGCACCGGCUAACUCCGUGCCAGCAGCCGCGGUAAUUC
rnacentral:rRNA from 1 species